rnacentral:rRNA from 1 species
GAUGAACGCUAGCUACAGGCUUAACUCAUGCAAGUCGAGGGGCAGCAUGACCUAGCAAUAGGUUGAUGGCGACCGGCGCACGGGUGAGUAACACGUAUCCAACCUACCGGUUAUUCCGGGAUAGCCUUUCGAAAGAAAGAUUAAUACCGGAUAGCAUAGCGAGAAGGCAUCUUCUUGCUAUUAAAGAAUUUCGAUAACCGAUGGGGAUGCGUUCCAUUAGUUUGUUGGCGGGGUAACGGCCCACCAAGACAUCGAUGGAUAGGGGUUCUGAGAGGAAGGUCCCCCACAUUGGAACUGAGACACGGUCCAAACUCCUACGGGAGGCAGCAGUGAGGAAUAUUGGUCAAUGGACGAGAGUCUGAACCAGCCAAGUAGCGUGAAGGAUGACUGCCCUAUGGGUUGUAAACUUCUUUUAUAUGGGAAUAAAGUGAGCCACGUGUGGCUUUUUGUAUGUACCAUACGAAUAAGGAUCGGCUAACUCCGUGCCAGCCGCCGCAGUAA